GGGAAUGUAGGGUCAAGCUCAAGAACAGAAAGACAUUUUAAUAUCUCUUUUAAUAUUUCCUUCUGUGUUGUGCAUGCACAACAGUGGAAAAUGGGCUUACUUUGUGUUACUAAUCUGUUUCUACCCAGUUUCACCCAGCUCUCAUGAGCGAAUCCAGUGGUCAGAGAAGCAGAAAUGGAAUAUUUCAAUCUCAUGUCAGCAAGUGAAUAUUUUUCUACUGCUACAGAGGCAGACUGAGAAGCCAUGAAUACAGCUUGUUCUUUUCUGGUUUGAUGAGAAAAUGCCAAAGCUAAGCCAUCCACAGUCUUCAUAGCAAUUAAACCUGGCACAGGUGGGGCACAGUCCAAGGUGUGGUCUCCUUGCAUCCAGGAUGCUUGCAUGUGUGCUACCCUCUGACUUACCCUGAAAGCCUGCCCUUGCCCUGGUCCAGGUAAGAACCUUCCCUAAAAUACACAAAAUUUUCAAAAAUUAGUUUUGCCUUAUCCAAAUCCUGUCUCAGGAGUAGCUGCUAAUGACUGGAACAUGAUGAAAUAUCAUUUCAUAUUACUGAGACAUACAUGUUUAGCAUGAUAUGAAGAAGGACA